rnacentral:tRNA from 1 species
GGGCUAGUGGCGGAAUGGCAGACGCGAGCGACUUAAAAUCGCUUGAGGAAACUCGUGUGGGUUCGACUCCCACCUGGCCCA